ACCUGUCGGCCAGGUCCGCAACAAUGGAGGGCCCCGGUCACGGAGUGAAACCGAUGAUACCUUCCCACAGCUACGGCCCGAUGAACACAAAAAGAGGAAAAGAAUCUGCAGUGAAAAUCCCCCAGCAGCCCUGCAGCUCAGCUCCUGGAAAAACACACGCCAUAAACGUCAACAUGGUUUAUUUGGGAUUUUCAGUGGCAUACCGACACAAAGCGGCGGAUGACUUUGAGCGGGUGCAAAAGGACAAAUAAAAUUCUGAAAGAAAAUGUCCACAUUGCUGAUGUUGCUUCUCUGCUUCGGUUCACACGCCACAAUCCUGAGUGGCGUCACCGUCACAUGACCAAACCAAGACUACAUUCCUUCCACCCCUCCUGAAACUUACAAAACCACCAAGACGGAAAUAAACAGCAGUUAUUAUUAUCAUUGUCUCGGUUGCUCUAGUCUUAUUGUCAACGUCCUGCUGAAAGUAUCACGUCCACUCCAGAAUCAAGCCUUUAUCUUUUACUUAACUCCCUCUAAAAGUGACAAAAUGCAAGGGCUAUGAAUGCUUUCACAAGGUAUUAUAAGUUCGUUUUUUCCCAUCAGCUAAAAAAAUGAUUUGUGAUGCUCUGAUUAGCUCUGAUUUUUACUCCACAUUCAAACUCAGACCAAAUUUACAGCGUUGAACUUGGCACUGUUAGUGAAAAUGGCUGAACCCAAAGGGUACAUGAUGUUUUCAUCCGUUUAUGAGGCAGUGAUCGUGAACCGAGAGCCUCCUGCAGAACAUCUACGGCUCUGCCCCACA